rnacentral:rRNA from 1 species
AUUGAACGCUGGCGGCAGGCCUAACACAUGCAAGUCGAACGGUAACAGGAAGCAGCUUGCUGCUUCGCUGACGAGUGGCGGACGGGUGAGUAAUGUCUGGGAAGCUGCCUGAUGGAGGGGGAUAACUACUGGAAACGGUAGCUAAUACCGCAUAAUGUCGCAAGACCAAAGAGGGGGACCUUCGGGCCUCUUGCCAUUGGAUGUGCCCAGAUGGGAUUAGCUUGUUGGUGGGGUAACGGCUCACCAAGGCGACGAUCCCUAGCUGGUCUGAGAGGAUGACCAGCCACACUGGAACUGAGACACGGUCCAGACUCCUACAGGAGGCAGCAGUGGGGAAUAUUGCACAAUGGGCGCAAGCCUGAUGCAGCCAUGCCGCGUGUAUGAAGAAGGCUUUCGGGUUGUAAAGUACUUUCAGCGGGGAGGAAGGGAGUAAAGUUAAUACCUUUGCUCAUUGACGUUACCCGCAGAAGAAGCACCGGCUAACUCCGUG